rnacentral:rRNA from 1 species
UACGUAGGGUGCGAGCGUUUAAUCGGAAUUACUGGGCGUAAAGCGUGCGCAGGCGGUUAUGUAAGACAGUUGUGAAAUCCCCGGGCUCAACCUGGGAAUUGCAUCUGUGACUGCAUAGCUAGAGUACGGUAGAGGGGGAUGGAAUUCCGCGUGUAGCAGUGAAAUGCGUAGAUAUGCGGAGGAACACCGAUGGCGAAGGCAAUCCCCUGGACCUGUACUGACGCUCAUGCACGAAAGCGUGGGGAGCAAACAGG